AUGAAUUGGUACGAUCUUCAGCAAAAAGCAUUUGUAGCAUGUAAAGAGAAGAGAGGUUCUUUUACCAUUUCCGAUCAAAAGGAGCUCCUCAUUUUUCCUAAGCCACUUCAAGUUGGAGUUAUAUUGGAGAAGCACAUGGGUGUGUUUGCUAAUCAAGUAGACUCAUCUCCUCCAUUUUUGUGUGUGUCUCCACCAGUUCGGACAUCAAAUCCCUUGGUCCAGGAUGAUCGAUUUAAAGAUGAGAUAGGUUUGGCAUCUUCAACUUUCGUAUCUUGCAAAACAUGA